ensembl:lncRNA
GAAGCCAGGACCUAUCAACUCUAUGAUCUUCACUAAGCCGGUACCAAAUAGGAUGGCCCAGACUGGAGUACGGAGUGGAUUCUACAGAGGCAUUGUGGGUCCAUUACCAGAUCCCUGACCUGACAAGCCCCUUUUGGAUUCUACAGAGGCAUUGUGGGUCCAUUACCAGAUCCCUGACCUGACAAGCCCCUUGUGGAAAGUGCCUUUGGGCUGGUGCAGGAGGGCAGUGUUCUGUCAUGUCAGCAGCCGGUUUUGACAACCCGGCACAUCACACUACACCGUGAUGCACCACCAACACCGCACUUGCCUCUGGAGGGUAUGACAUCAAGGAAACCCUGCUCGCUCAGACAGCCUGUGAUAUUUUCUCAAAUCGCUGCGCUGAACAAGUUUCCAAAGAACAUGCUGUGUGACACAAUAAAUAUCCUUUAACCUGUUAACCUGUGGCUUCUGGAAGAAACU